rnacentral:rRNA from 1 species
AUUGAACGCUGGCGGCAGGCCUAAUACAUGCAAGUCGAGCGGAUGAAGGGAGCUUGCUCCUGGCUUCAGCGGCGGACGGGGAAGUAAUGCCUAGGAAUCUGCCUGGUAGUGGGGGAUACCGUACGGAAACGGGACCUAAUACCGCAUACGCUCUGACGGAGAAAGUGCAUGUACUUCGGACCACACGCUAUCAGAUGACCCUUGGUCGGAUUAGCUAGUUGGUGGGGUAAAGGCCUACCAAGGCGACGAUCCGUAACUGGUCUGAGAGGAUGAUCAGUCACACUGGAACUGAGACACGGUCCAGACUCCUACGGGAGGCAGCAGUGGGAAAUAUUGGACAAUGGGCGAAAGCCUGAUCCAGCCAUGCCGCGUGUGUGAAGAAGGUCUUCGGAUUGUAAAGCACUUUAAGUUGGGAGGAAGGGAAGUAAGUUAAUACCUUGCUGUUUUGACGUUACCAACAGAAUAAGCACCGGCUAACUUCGUG